rnacentral:rRNA from 1 species
AGAGGAAGUAAAAGUCGUAACAAGGUUUCCGUAGGUGAACCUGCGGAAGGAUCAUUAACGAAUAUCGUGCGGGGUUGAAGCUGGCCUCUCGGGGCAUGUGCUCGCCUUGUUCAUAUCCAUCUCACACCUGUGCACACUCGCGUGGGUCGGUCGGGCUCUUUUUUGCGCCCUUCCGAGCCGCGUCUUCUCACAAACUCUUCGUAUGUCUUCAGAAUGGUAUCAAUGCUAUAAAACGCAUCUUAUACAACUUUCAACAAUGGAUCUCUCGGCUCUCGCAUCGAUGAAGAACGCAGCGAAAUGCGAUAAGUAAUGUGAAUUGCAGAAUUCAGUGAAUCAUCGAAUCUUUGAACGCACCUUGCGCCCUUUGGUAUUCCGAAGGGCACGCCUGUUUGAGUGUCGUGAAAUUCUCAACCCUGCGCUUUUCUUGUGAAAGCGCGUGGGCUUGGACUUGGAGGCUUUGCUGGUCCUCGCGGAUCGGCUCCUCUCAAAUGCAUUAGCGAGACCCUUGUGGUGCCGCCCCCGGUGUGAUAAUUGUCUACGCCGUGGGUACACCGCGAUUGUGGGGGACCUGCUUCCAACCGUCGAAAGACAA